AAAGAAAUAUUUCAAAGAAACUUCUAACUUCUUACAGAGCAAUAUUUUUGUUCAU
rnacentral:tRNA from 1 species